GUGAUCGAUUAACGGAUAAAAGUUACGCUAGGGAUAACAGUGUAAUAACAUGAGAGAGUAGAUAUUGUCAAUGUUGUU
rnacentral:rRNA from 1 species